CAGGGAAUCUUGCACAAUGGGCGAAAGCCUGAUGCAGCGACGCCGCGUGGGGGAUGAAGGCCCUAGGGUCGUAAACCCCUUUCAGCAGGGACGAAAAUGACGGUACCUGCAGAAGAAGCCCCGGCCAACUACGUGCCAGCAGCCGCGGUAAGACGUAGGGGCAAGCGUUGUCCGGAUUUAUUGGGCGUAAAGAGCUCGUAGGCGGUUGCGUAAGUCGGAUGUGAAAACUCAGGGCUCAACCCUGAGACGC
rnacentral:rRNA from 1 species